UAUGCCAUAAUUAGAGCUGUCUAAACAAUCUCUUUAAAAAUAGAACCUGAAGGAGCUUGAGAGCUUGCUGUCUGGAGUUGUAUCAGCAUUCCUUGAUGUGAAUACAGAGAUUCCCCAAAAGGCCUGCAUGGAGUAUAUAAGAAGAGGAGUAAGAUUAAUGGGGAAGACAUGCUAAAGAGCACUGAUGCUUAUUGGAAUAACAGCCACAUUUGAUAUGGAAAAGGACCAAAAAGAAAGUGGAGUGAGGAAGAAGUGUUGUUGGUUUGAAGGGACUGAGG